AGAGCCAGAACCAGUAGUGGAGCCAGCAGCAGGAACCCCACCACCAGCAAAGCCACACAACCCCCAUCGUCCAAGAGAUCCGAGCAGUAGACGGAAGUACCGUGGCGCUGAACCUUUGGAACAAAUGGAGAGGAAUGCAAGGAAAAGACAGUGGAUUAUCAGGAGAGAGAGAUAAAAGGGGUGCUGGUGAAACAUGCAAGUUAAGUGUGGAGGGAUGGUGGAAAACAAGAUAUAUCCUGAGAGUCAUAAAAGAGGAAAACCUGUCUUCCUGUCCUUGGAGCCAGGAUUUCCGCAGUAAAGUCUGCAGAGAGUGCUGAGGUGUCGCAGAAACAUUACUCCUGUCCCAUGACCUCUGCAGGCCUCCACUUCCACUCCACAGACAGACAGGAGACUGUGAAUCUGUAACCUUCCUCUAAUACACUUCCACACACAAUCCAGAAAUAACGACACGUAAACAGAUAGGAAUUUAUCAGAAUGUUUUAUUUUUUAUAGUUAUCAUUAUAUCAGGUAUAACACACAAAAAUCACAGAAUGUUUUAGACAAGUCUGGCUCAGAUCCUUAACAUUUUUCCUUUUAUUUUUUCAUUUUCUUUUCUUUUUUUCUUUUUUUUUAUACAGUAAAACAAACAAAAAUGGCAAUGAACCUGAAAACAAACUCGGAGAGGAGAGGUAUCGAUGUAAUGCAAAUCUGAAAACUCUCAACAAUCUGAAAUUCAUCAAUAAUGAUACAAAUCAGAAAGGUCAUUAUAAUCAUAACAGCUAGAAUGACUGGAAUCAUACACGUGUCACAAUAUCCUGUACCUCAUGUAAAGCAAACAAAUUUCAUGUGUUAAAUAUACAGUACAAAGACAUUCAGUUCAUAAAAGUGUACUGACUCUGUUCUAAGCACCAACUUGUGAGAUUAAAUUCAUGUUUUCAAACCUACAGAUCAUUUAUACAGACAGAGAGACCCGGGAGGGGGAGGGGGAUCAGCACCAUUUUGAAUCAGACGUUCCCCCGUAAGCCUCACCACAUCAGCACAACAGAAAGAUUUACAAAAUACAUAUGUCUCCGAAAAGAGAAGCAUCACAAACAAUCAAUAAAUACAAAAGGAAAAGUCAAGUAAAUAAAUAAAAAACAAAACAAAGAGUAAUGCAAUUAUGAUUCAAAAACUUUUAUAUUCAGAAAAUCAAAUAAAAGGAUAAAAUCAAUCGAGAAAUGCUUCAAAAGCCACAAGUUCGCAGGAAUGAUUUUUUUUUUUUUGAGUUGUACAAAAAAGAUUCACUUAACACACAUAAGGUUUUCCAGACAAAUGCAAUCAAAUAAGUUUUAGAUUAAACCCGUAUUUUUUGGAAUAACUGUUACAUAUACUGUACGUCACGUGAUAUUUUAAUGCUCUAAGAAAAUGUCAUUAUUUACUUAAUCAAAUACCAUGAAAUCACCUUUUGUCUAAAUGCAUAUCACAAGGCCCAAAUGGUGUUAGUCUAGACUGUUAAAAAAGUUUUUUUUUUCUCUUUCUGAAAACCUUUGACAACUUAAAAAAAUAGCACCCAGUAAAAUAUGCAAAUACCAUUUACAAAGGUCAGACUUGUAGUAAAUAUGACACGACCGAAACAACAGAAAAAAAAAAUGUAAUGCCACUGCAAUGGUCAUCAGCUCUAAGAGAAAUGAAUCCCCUGCUUAUAUAUACGUUGUAUCAAAGCACCACUCAGAUAAACCAGAGACAUAGAAUAACUGGACCGGUGAAAUCGUCUUCCAUUUGCAUAAAAAAGUAAACUACAUCAGUACCUGAAUUAAUGCACAUGUUCGGCAAGUUGACAAUUUUUUUUUUUUU